GACGUAGGGCGCGAGCGUUGUCCGGAUUUAUUGGGCGUAAAGAGCUCGUAGGCGGCUUGUCGCGUCGACUGUGAAAUCCCGCGGCUCAACCGCGGGCUUGCAGUCGAUACGGGCAGGCUUGAGUUCGGUAGGGGAGACUGGAAUUCCUGGUGUAGCGGUGAAAUGCGCAGAUAUCAGGAGGAACACCGGUGGCGAAGGCGGGUCUCUGGGACGGUACUGACACUGAGACGCGAAAGCGUGGGGAGCGAACAGG
rnacentral:rRNA from 1 species